CAGCCACAUCAUGUCAAAACACCAGUUCCUAUACAAUCACCAAAGUUAAGCAGCAUUGAGCCUGGUCAGUACCUAGAUGGGUGACUGCUUGGAGGUACCAUGUGCUGUCAG